rnacentral:rRNA from 1 species
AUUGAACGCUGGCGGCAGGCCUAACACAUGCACGUCGAGCGGAGCGGCGGACGGGUGAGUAAAGACUAGGAAUCUGCCUGGUAGUGGGGGAUAACGUCCGGAAACGGGCGGUAAUACCACAUACUAUACGAUGAGACUAGGUCGGAUUAGCUAGUUGGGGGGGUAAAGGCCUACAAAGGCGACGAUCCGUAACUGGUCUGAGUGGAUGAUCAUGCAAACGGGAACUGAGACACGGUCCAGGCUCGUACGGGAGUCAGCGUUGGGGAAUAGUGGACAGUGGGCGAAAGCCUGAUCCAGCCAGACGGCGGGGGUGAAGAGGUUUGUCGUAUUUUAAAGCACUUUAAGUUGUGAGGCGUUACCAACAGAAUAAGCACCGGCUAACUUCGUGCCAGCCGCCGCGGUAAUAC